rnacentral:rRNA from 1 species
AAAUAUGCACGCUUUUGUGCUAAGGUAGCAUAAUAAUUUGUCUUUUAAUUAAAGACUAGAACAAAAGGUUUAACAUCUCAAUUAAUAUUUCAUAAAAAACUAUUUAAAUUAUUUUAAUUGUAAAAAAACAAUUUUAAAAAAGAAAGACGAUAAGACCCUAUCGAACUUUACUUCAGUUUAACUGGGGCAGUUAAUUAAUUAUUAUUUUAAUAAAAUUAAACAUUUAAUUUGACCUUAUAUUAUUAAUAAAAUAAUUAAGUUACCGUAGGGAUAACAGCGUAAUAAAAUUUUUAAGACCUUAUUUAAAAUAAAGAUUACGACCUCGAUGUUGAUUUAAUAUCCUAAUUUACGCAAUAGUUAAUUAAGGAAGUCUGUUCGACUUUUAAAAAAUUACAUGAUCUG